rnacentral:lncRNA from 1 species
UAGCUGAAUAUAGUAAUUUAUUAAAAUAUGAGAGGAAGAAAUAAGAGAGACCAAUUGAGAAGCUCCAGUUUUGAUUUGUGAUUGAUGCUAAAAGCUUUCAAGUACAUGACUAUUUAUACGUACUACUACUGCUACUACUAAUGCUACUACUACUACUAAUACUACUGUUACUGCUACUACUGUUACUUUUAUUGCAGCCACUACUGCUACUACUGCUACAACGGGUACUACUGCUACUGCCGCCACUGCUGCUAUUGCUACUCUUGUUAUAAUUUCUACUACUGCUACUACUGCUACUACCAAUAUUCCUACUACUGCUGCUAAUAGUGCUAUUGCUACUACUGCUAUUGCUGCUACUACUACUAUCACUACCACUGCAUUAUAUGUAACACCACAAACAAUUUAGUUUAUUUUAAUAGUAUUAUUAAUUAUCUAACAUUUUUUUCAGAUUUCUUUACAUAAAUUAAUUAAUUAAUUAAAAUGAGAAAAAAAAGUUUCGUUGUAAUAUUAAUUCAAUUGAAGAAGAUUUUGAAUGUAUAAAUCAACCUACAAAUGGCAGAAUGAUCAAUUAGG